GAUGAACGCUAGCGGCAGGCUUAACACAUGCAAGUCGAGGGGUAUAGGUUUUCGGACCUAGAGACCGGCGCACGGGUGCGUAACGCGUAUGCAACCUACCUUUUACAGAGGGAUAGCCCAGAGAAAUUUGGAUUAAUACCUCAUAGUAUAUAACCUUCGCAUGUUGGUUAUAUUAAAGUUCCAACGGUAAAAGAUGGGCAUGCGUCCUAUUAGCUAGAUGGUAAGGUAACGGCUUACCAUGGCAACGAUAGGUAGGGGUCCUGAGAGGGAGAUCCCCCAUACUGGUACUGAGACACGGACCAGACUCCUACGGGAGGCAGCAGUGAGGAAUAUUGGACAAUGGGCGCAAGCCUGAUCCAGCCAUGCCGCGUGCAGGAAGAAGCAUCUAUGGUGUGUAAACUGCUUUUGUACAGGAAGAAACACCCCGGCGUGUCGGGACUUGACGGUACUGUAAGAAUAAGGAUCGGCUAACUCCGUGCCAGCCGCCGCGGUAACAC
rnacentral:rRNA from 1 species